rnacentral:rRNA from 1 species
UGGGGGAUAUUGCACAAUGGGCGAAAGCCUGAUGCAGCGACGCCGCGUGGGGGAUGAAGGCCUUCGGGUUGUAAACUUCUUUUGCUCUGAACAAGGCGCACCAUGGGGUGUGUUGAGUGUAGGGGUUGAUUAGCGCCGGCUAACUACGUGCCAGCAGCCGCGGUAAUACGUAGGUCGCGAGCGUUGUCCGGAAUUAUUGGGCGUAAAGGGCUUGUAGGUGGCUGGUUGCGUCUGUCGUGAAAGCUCAUGGCUUAACUGUGGGUUUGCGGUGGGUACGGGCUGGCUUGAGUGCAGUAAGGGAGGCUGUAAUUCCUGGUGUGGCGGUGGAAUGCGCAGAUAUCAGGAGGAAUACCGGUGGCGAAGGCGGGUCUCUGGGCUGUUACUGACACUGAGGAGCGAAAGCAUGGGGAGCGAACAGG